UACAGAGGUCUCAAGCGUUUGUUCGGAUUCAUUGGACGUAAAGGGUGUGUAGGUGGCGCCGUAAGUCGGGUGUGAAAUUUCGGAGCUUAACUCCGAAACUGCAUUCGAUACUGCGGUGCUUGAGGACUGGAGAGGAGACUGGAAUUCAUGGUGUAGCAGUGAAAUGCGUAGAGAUCAUGAGGAAGACCAGUGGCGAAGGCGGGUCUCUGGACAGUUCCUGACACUGAGACACGAAGGCCAGGGGAGCAAACGGG
rnacentral:rRNA from 1 species